rnacentral:lncRNA from 1 species
UUGAAAUUUAAGAAGAAUGGGAGGAGAUGAAGAGACUAAUCAUAAGCAAAAAUUAAAAGUUAAGAGUUGAAAAGAUCUGACCAAUGGGAUGCAAUCCAACAGACAAGAAUGUCAUAUAGAAACCCACUUUUCCUUUGGAUUUUAAAUCAAGCAAUAUCAAUAAGCAAGUAGAAAUAUGAAGAGCAAGGCAUCAAAUAAAGAUA